GCAGCGCCUGGCGUGGCGUUGCUGGGCCGCGCGCCUGCGCCGCGCCGGCGUGGCGCUGGCGCAGGCGCGCGUGCGCAAUCCCGCCGGUUGCGC
rnacentral:tRNA from 42 species